rnacentral:rRNA from 1 species
CCUACGGGAGGCAGCAGUGGGGAAUAUUGCACAAUGGGCGAAAGCCUGAUGCAGCAACGCCGCGUGAAGGAAGAAGGGUUUCGGCUCGUAAACUUCUAUCAACAGGGACGAAAGAAAUGACGGUACCUGAAUAAGAAGCCCCGGCUAACUACGUGCCAGCAGCCGCGGGAAUACGUAGGGGGCAAGCGUUAUCCGGAAUUACUGGGUGUAAAGGGUGAGAAGGCGGCAUGGUAAGCCAGAUGUGAAAGCCCUGGGCUUAACCCGAGGAUUGCAUUUGGAACUAUCAAGCUAGAGUGCAGGAGAGGUAGGCGGAAUUCCUAGUGUAGCGGUGAAAUGCGUAGAUAUUAGGAAGAACACCAGUGGCGAAGGCGGCUUUCUGGACGGUAACUGACGCUGAGGCUCGAAAGCGUGGGGAGCGAACAGGAUUAGAUACCCUAGUAGUC